GAUGAACGCUGGCGGCGUGCCUAACACAUGCAAGUCGAGCGGAGAUAUUUGGAGUACUUGUACAAAGGAUAUCUUAGCGGCGGACGGGUGAGUAACACGUGAGCAAUCUGCCUUUUACUGGGGAAUAACACUGGGAAACCAUUGCUAAUACCGCAUAACGUCUUUUUCCGGCAUCGGGGGAAGACCAGAGGAGAAAUCCGGUAAAAGAUGAGCUCGCGUCCGAUUAGGUAGUUGGUGAGGUAACGGCCCACCAAGCCUACGAUCGGUAGCCGGACUGAGAGGUUGAACGGCCACAUUGGGACUGAGACACGGCCCAGACUCCUACGGGAGGCAGCAGUGGGGAAUAUUGGGCAAUGGGGGAAACCCUGACCCAGCAACGCCGCGUGAAGGAUGAAGGCUUUCGGGCUGUAAACUUCUUUGAUCAGGGACGAAACAAAUGACGGUACCUGAAGAACAAGCCACGGCUAACUACGUG
rnacentral:rRNA from 1 species